rnacentral:lncRNA from 1 species
UGUGGCCCUCCGGACUACAGGAGAAAUUCUGGAGCAGGGGCUUGGGUAGGCAGCAGGAGUCCAGUGGAAUCAGGAAUAGUUGAUGGAGCUGAGGGACCACUAGAGGGCGCAUCUGGAGCAGGUGAAAACAGGUGUAGGUUCUGCGACGCCCCUGACAGUGGUGAUGGCAGCAGCACUCUGGAACCUGAGAGGAGGAGAGGUAGCAACAGCAGUUCCGGUUGUGACGCCAGCAGCCCUGGCCCUGGUGGCUGUGGAAUCUGGAAGGGUGGGCCCCCCAUGACUGCAAUGGCAGUGCUUGGAUUGGCUGUGGGGGUGCUGAGGCCAGCUGUGCUGCUUGUAAGGAGGAGGCAGGUCAGACUCCGGGUCUUUAGGCAGCCUGAGACCAUCCAGACCUCCUCCUCACAUCACAGUGGGUUUCACAGCGCAGAGCAUUGACAACGGUGGUCUUUAAUAAAGCUGCUCCCAGGCUGGGGAUUUAGCUCAGUGGCACAGCGCCUGCCUGGCAAGCACAACGUCGUGAGUUCGAUUCCCGGUACCGGAAAAAAACAAAAACAAAAAACAAAAAAAACCUGAAAGCUUUGGGCUGGGGAUUUAGCCCAGCGGCACAGUGCCUGCCUGGCAAGCACAAGGUCAUGAGUUCAGUUCCCGGUACUGAAAAAAAAAAAAAAAAAAAAAAGCUUCUCCCACCUGUGCUUCUGUCCCGGCUGGUGGGUUCUUCUGUCCCCUCCAGCAUCUGCAUGUUGAAAGCAGCUUACAGCCACCUUUUCAGUGCAUGACAUUUUCCAUCUUACUGAAUAACUACAUAGUGAGACCCUGUCUCAAAACAAAACAAAAACCAAGACAUGACAAAAGAGUGAAUGAGAACAUGUUUUAGAAUUCCAAUUUAGCAGUAACAAUGAAUAAACAAUAAAGCUAUCCAGUAGAGUAAAAUACCUAGUCAGCAGACCCUGCGCACCCUCUUCUGGACAGACAACCUGCUCUUCAAGGGAAAUUGAUUUCUAACCAUCAGAAAGUUGCCCGGUGAGUAGCGAAUCCAGUUCUGAGGGUAGACUUGCAGGUUUCCGGUCCGCUAUUCCUCAGAUCAUUACCGCAGUAACUGCUAGCAGAGUGUGCUUCACCAAAACGUCCCCCGUGGAGACAGUCUAUGCACACUUCCCAGUGAGUGCUGAACACCACACAAGGGCGAAGUUAAAUAUUUAUUCACUAUUCGGGGACUGGACGGCAGGAAAGAGCGCUUGGAAAAACCACCAGUCCCCAGGUUAGAGGGCCCUCACUGAGUCCUUUGAUGUGAGCUUGUUCUGUGCAUUAAUGACAUGACAGUUUACUAAAUCAGCAUUCUUCUAGAAGGCCAGACUUUCUAGGAAAGAAGCUAUA